rnacentral:rRNA from 1 species
GUGCCAGCCGCCGCGGUAAUACCGGCAGCCCGAGUGAUGGCCGAUCUUAUUGGGCCUAAAGCGUCCGUAGCUGGCUGCGCAAGUCCGUCGGGAAAUCCACUCGCCCAACGAGUGGGCGUCCGACGGAAACUGCACAGCUUGGGACCGGAAGGCGCGACGGGUACGUCCGGGGUAGGAGUGAAAUCCCGUAAUCCUGGACGGACCGCCGAUGGCGAAAGCACUCUGAGAAGACGGCUUCGACAGUGAGGGACGAAAGCUAGGGUCUCAAACCGGAUUAGAUACCCCAGUAGUCC